rnacentral:lncRNA from 1 species
GGACUCUUUAAGAAAGAGAUAGUGACUGAUGUAAUUUUUCUCUGCUUAUUAGAUUUUUUACAAUUGUCCUUUUGUUUCAUUGUUAACAGAGUGGUUGCUAAGACAAUCCCUUCUGGAUGGAAGCAGAAAUAAGAUGCUGAUGGAGCUGCUAUUCCUCUCUACUACUCAGCCAUCUGCAGAGAAAGAAUGAAAUACAUCGUGUUC